rnacentral:rRNA from 1 species
AAGUUCCUUCGGGGAUGAGUAAAGUGGCGCACGGGUGAGUAACGCGUGGAUUAUCUACCUGCAUCACCGGAAUAACGGUUGGAAACGACUGCUAAUGCCGGAUAGUCUCGAAAGGGUAAAGGGGGCCUCUGCUUGCAAGCUUCCGGGUGCUGAUGAGUCCGCGUCUGAUUAGUUAGUUGGUGAGGUAAUGGCUCACCAAGGCAACGAUCAGUAGCAGGUUUGAGAGGAUGACCUGCCACACUGGGACUGGAACACGGCCCAGACUCCUACGGGAGGCAGCAGUGGGGAAUAUUGCGCAAUGGGCGAAAGCCUGACGCAGCGACGCCGCGUGGAGGAUGAAGGCCUUCGGGUCGUAAACUCCUGUCAAGAGGGAAGAACCGUAUGCGGAAUAAUACGCCGCAUGCCUGACGGUACCUCUAGAGGAAGCACCGGCUAACUCCGUGCCAGCCGCCGCGGAAACAU